ensembl:misc_RNA Metazoa_SRP Metazoan signal recognition particle RNA
GCCGGGUGUGGUGGCUCACACCUGUAAUCCAAGCACUUUGAAGGCCAAGGCAGGCGGAUCACCUGAGGUCAGGAGUUCAAAACCAGCCUGACCAAAAUGGUGAAACCCUGUCUUUA